rnacentral:rRNA from 1 species
GUCUAUGGCCACGCUACCCUGAACAAGCCCGAUCCCGUCUGACCUCAGAAGCUAAGCAGGGUCGGGCCUGGUUAGUACUUGGAUGAGAGACCACCUAAGAAGACCAGGUGCUAUAGGCA